rnacentral:siRNA from 1 species
UUCCUGUCCUGAGUCUACUAUGC